AUUGAACGCUGGCGGCAUGCUUUACACAUGCAAGUCGAACGGCAGCGCGGGCUUCGGCCUGGCGGCGAGUGGCGAACGGGUGAGUAAUGCAUCGGAACGUGCCCAGUAGUGGGGGAUAGCCCGGCGAAAGCCGGAUUAAUACCGCAUACGACCUGAGGGUGAAAGCGGGGGACCGAAAGGCCUCGCGCUAUUGGAGCGGCCGAUGUCGGAUUAGCUAGUUGGUGGGGUAAAGGCUUACCAAGGCGACGAUCCGUAGCUGGUCUGAGAGGACGACCAGCCACACUGGAACUGAGACACGGCCCAGGCUCCUACGGGAGGCAGCAGUGGGGAAUUUUGGACAAUGGGGGCAACCCUGAUCCAGCCAUGCCGCGUGCGGGAAGAAGGCCUUCGGGUUGUAAACCGCUUUUGUUCGGGAAGAAAUCCUCUGGGCUAAUACCCCGGGGGGAUGACGGUACCGGAAGAAUAAGCACCGGCUAACUACGUG
rnacentral:rRNA from 1 species